UUUAAGCUAAUAUACAUGCACCAUGCAUAUCCAUGCAUUUGCAAUAUACAUACUUGAUGCAACAUUUCUUGUAAAGCUAUAGCUUCUCAAAGUGAGGGCCAAAGUUUACACUUCUAAAUCUUUAUUGCCUAACACAGUGCCUGACCCAUAAUAGCCACUUGAGAGAUGAAGUUUUUAAAAUACAGUUUGUCAAAUGGAUGCUGCUGGACUAUUAUUUGUAAAGUUUUUAUUUAAAAUACCCAUUCUAUUUUUUUAUUUUUAAGGAGGAAUAUAUAUAUAUAAAUAUAUAUACAUAUAUGUGUGUGUAUAUAUAUAUGUGUGUGUGUGUGUGUGUGUGUGUAAUCACAACAUUCUAAAGCAUCCUUUCACAAAUCUUCCCCCAGAAGAGUACCAUUAACUUGAUGAACAUAAUCAAAAGUAAUCCUCAGAUGUUAAUGUGAGAGUAUCAUCAAAGGCAGUAUCUACUGAAAAUCCCCAUGAAAUUUAAGACAACUUACUGAGAUUUGUUAUUUAGCAAUUAACUAUCAAUGGUAACCAAUCAACUCAAUUAGUUGUGGGGACAAACAAGAAACAUAUUUCCUUAAAUGAGAUUUUGCCAGGUAAAAUUCUAACAAGGGUCAAGACUAAAAUUACUUUCUUUCUUGAUAAAAAUAUGGUUUGGAUGUUUGUUCUCUACAAAUCUCAUGUGGAAAUGUGAACCCCAGUGUUGGAUAUGGGGCCUGGUAGGAGACUAUUGGAUCAUAAGGCAAAUGUCUCAUGAAUGCUUUAGCACCAUCCUCCUAAUGGUAAGUGAGUUCUCGCUCAGCUACUUCACAAAAUAUCUGGUUGUUGUAAAGAUUCUGGGACUUCCUCCUUCUGUAUCUUGCUCCAUUUCUCAUCAUGUGGCGUGCUGCUCCUGCUUCACCUUCUUCUAUGAGUGAAAGCUCCCUGAGGCCUCACCAGAAGCCAAGCAGAUAUCAGCACCAUGCUUCCUGUAUAGCCUGCAGAACCAUGAGCCAAUUAAACUCUUUUCCUUCAUAUAUUACCCAGCCUCAGGUAUUCCUUUAUAGCAACACAAAAUGGACUAAUACAACAAGUUAGCAAUUAUUCGUAAUUGUCUUAACAUCUUUAAGCCCUCACUGAACCCAAUUUGGAAAGUUUAUUGUAAUUUUUUGCAUAAUGUCUUAAUACUUAAUCCAAGGUAGAAAAAUAAAAGGAUG
rnacentral:lncRNA from 1 species